UGGGGGAGGGGGCGGGGGACGCCGCUGAGGGGCCUGGUGGCGGCGGCCGUUCCUCGUCCUGACCGACACCUGCGCCGCCUUUGCAGGGACCGCCACGAAGGACGAAGACCCCAUCCGAGCGGGACCCGCCGGCGGGGGGGCUGCUCGUUACCAAGGCAACCGCUCCUUCUCGGCCCCCCAAACACGGCAGAGGGGCCAGGGCCGUGGAAACAACCGGAAGAGCGCCCUGCGGCCCCGCCUCGAGGCCCUUGGCGGGAAGAGGAGAAGACGAGCGGUGCCGGGACUGGACUGCGAUAACCGGGAGCACCUGGAACGUGAUGGGGCCCUCCGAGAAGCCCCUGCAGGGGUGGGGUGGGGAGAGGAGUCCACGGAGCGUGGCCCGGGCAGCACACGCGGCGGCUUCGCCCUUGCUGCCCCUGCUCGGCGGGGCGCCCCUUCUGGCUCUGGAACCGGUUCCCGGGACACGCAGGGAUGCUGUGGAGGACGCAAGGCCCGGCGGGUGGGCGCUUGGAGGCCCCCUCUCUGGGGCCCGCCCCGCCCCUCCGCGGCCACGCUCGGGCCCCGUGGAGCACGGGUGGAGCGCCGCCGAAGAAGCCCGGCCCGCUCGCUGCUCAGGCAGCUCUCGCAGGCGGCAGCGUCGUGGCUCCGGCGCGGGAUGGCGCCCGUGGCCGUCGCGUCCCAGCGCCGAGGACGGACGGAGCCCGCCCUCCUCUUCGCCCAUCAGCCGUGCCGUGGCCGCCAGAGCCACCCAAGAAAGGGCCACCGCGGUGGUGAGGAAGAAAACCCAUUUAUGAAUGUCGCAGAGAACAAAGCAAGAAGGAAACAUCACAGCGACGUGUGGCUGGUGAUUGGCUGGACUUGAGAGCCCGUGUAAGGACGCUUGGCAGAGGCAGGGUGAGAGCCGGGCCCCUGGCUCUCCGUUUCAAGACUGAGUCCUUUCCACUAGUCUCUGUGACCUCCCCACGGGUCAGCUGCACAGGCCGAGCUGGGGCCAUCACAGGGUGGGGUAUUGAGCCGGAAGUGUUGGAGGCCCAGCCCCACGGGACCAAGGAGGCCGGCCGGGGGAGUCCUCAAAUGGUUCCAGCCUGGCACUUUGUCACCCUGAGAUGUAGCAAACCCAGUGUGUGUUCCCCACUGAUUCUACUUCUCAGGACUCAGUUUGUGCCCAAAUGUCACUCUCUGGUCUUGGGCCUUUGGAACACCAAGCCUUUGGGAUGAUUCCCUCUGAGGCCCCAGUCGGGCCAGCUCUAGGGAGGGAGUAGAAGAUUUCCUCCUUACCCACUUGCGGGGAAGGUGCUGUCAUCUGGGGACAUCCCCCACCCCAGGCCCUUGAGUUUUCACUGAAUUUUCAUCACUGCUGUUGUCACCACUGUCUCUGUCUUCACUGAGCACCUGCCGAUGGGUGUUUGCAGACAUGACUCAACCAUCGCACAGGGAUCGGUAGGGUGCCCGCUGUGUGCCUGGCACUGUUCGAAGGGCUAGAGAUACAGCAAGGGACGGGGCAGUCAAAGGCCUUGUGGUAAAAAGUUCACCUUCUCAGCGGGUGACAGAUAGCAGAGGGAUGAACAGAUAUAUGGUGUCCUCUCAGGUGGAGAGUUAGUCUUAGCAAGGAAAAGGAAGCAGAGGGGCUUGGAGCGUGACGGAUGCUUGAGGUGCUACUCCAGGCAAGGUGUUCCCAGCAGUGAAGGAGGAAGGGGCAGGUGGGAACAUGCUGGGUCUGUCUGGGGAACGAUGAUGGAGUCGGUCUCAGGGUCAGGGGGUAGUGCUUGUUCUCCCGUACAGGUGAGGGAGCGG
rnacentral:lncRNA from 1 species